CGCACGUCGGGUUCCCGGAUAUCCGCGGUUUGGACCACCGGAAGUUGUGUACACAAACGCUGAUCGCACGCACAAUCCGUCUAUACGUACGUGUAAAUAGGUAUAAAAUCAAUAUCGAAAAAUAUGUUUACUGAAAACACCGCCUGCAGACGAGGCCCUUUGAAAUUUUGCGCUUUACGACAUCUGCUGACCGCCCCCGACCUAGAUAUCACAAGGUAUAGGCAGAUGGUUAUUGGCGAGGGGAGAAAAAUCAACCUUUAUAAUAUGUACAAUAACAAUAAUUCCGAACGACGCGUGUUCUAGAAUAAUAAUAUAUAAAUUUAAAAGCAACCGCGAUUUCUAUACCUAUACGCCUAUACAAGAUUAUAUACUUCAAAAUAUCACUCUGAAGGUACAACAAUGAGAUUAAG